UGCCAGAAUGAUGACAUAUAUUUGCUACUCUUGAUCAGUGAAAUGAUGAUAAUGCACAACCACCUUGUUUCAAACUGAGGCA
rnacentral:snoRNA from 1 species